rnacentral:rRNA from 1 species
UACGUAGGUGGCAAGCGUUGUCCGGAAUUAUUGGGCGUAAAGCGCGCGCAGGCGGCUUCUUAAGUCUGAUGUGAAAGCCCACGGCUCAACCGUGGAGGGUCAUUGGAAACUGGGGAACUUGAGUGCAGAAGAGGAAAGUGGAAUUCCAAGUGUAGCGGUGAAAUGCGUAGAGAUUUGGAGGAACACCAGUGGCGAAGGCGGCAUCCUGGACCAACACUGACGCUGAGGAGCGAAAGCCAGGGGAGCAAACGGG